rnacentral:rRNA from 1 species
CAGUAGCCGCGGUAAUACGAAGGGUGCAAGCGUUAAUCGGAAUUACUGGGCGUAAAGCGUGCGCAGGCGGUUGUGUAAGACAGGUGUGAAAUCCCCGGGCUUAACCUGGGAACUGCGCUUGUGACUGCACAGCUAGAGUAUGGCAGAGGGGGGUGGAAUUCCACGUGUAGCAGUGAAGUGCGUAGAGAUGUGGAGGAACACCGAUGGCGAAGGCAGCCCCCUGGGCCAAUACUGACGCUCAUGCACGAAAGCGUGGGGAGCAAACAGGAUUAGAUACCCGCGUAGUCCCUGUCUCUUAUAC